rnacentral:rRNA from 1 species
ACGAACGCUGGCGGCGUGCCUAACACAUGCAAGUCGAACGGAGUUGAAAGGAGCUUGCUUUUUUCAACUCAGUGGCGGACGGGUGAGUAACGCGUGAGUAACCUGCCUUUCAGAGGGGGAUAACGUUCUGAAAAGAACGCUAAUACCGCAUAAGAUUGUAGCUUCGCAUGGAGCAGCAAUCAAAGGAGCAAUCCGCUGAAAGAUGGACUCGCGUCCGAUUAGAUAGUUGGCGGGGUAACGGCCCACCAAGUCGACGAUCGGUAGCCGGACUGAGAGGUUGAUCGGCCACAUUGGGACUGAGACACGGCCCAGACUCCUACGGGAGGCAGCAGUGAGGGAUAUUGGGCAAUGGGGGAAACCCUGACCCAGCAACGCCGCGUGAGGGAUGACGGUUUUCGGAUUGUAAACCUCUGUCCUCUGUGAAGAUAGUGACGGUAGCAGAGGAGGAAGCUCCGGCUAACUACGUGCCAGCAGCCGCGGUAAUACGUAGGGAGCAAGCGUUGUCCGGAUUUACUGGGUGUAAAGGGUGCGUAGGCGGAUUGGCAAGUCAGAAGUGAAAUCCAUGGGCUUAACCCAUGAACUGCUUUUGAAACUGUUAGUCUUGAGUGAAGUAGAGGUAGGCGGAAUUCCCGGUGUAGCGGUGAAAUGCGUAGAGAUCGGGAGGAACACCAGUGGCGAAGGCGGCCUACUGGGCUUUAACUGACGCUGAGGCACGAAAGUGUGGGUAGCAAACAGGAUUAGAUACCCUGGUAGUCCACACUGUAAACGAUGAUUACUAGGUGUGGGGGGUCUAACCCCCUCCGUGCCGGAGUUAACACAAUAAGUAAUCCACCUGGGGAGUACGACCGCAAGGUUGAAACUCAAAGGAAUUGACGGGGGCCCGCACAAGCGGUGGAGCAUGUGGUUUAAUUCGAAGCAACGCGAAGAACCUUACCAAGUCUUGACAUCCUUCUGACCGGUACUUAACCGUACCUUCUCUUCGGAGCAGGAGUGACAGGUGGUGCAUGGUUGUCGUCAGCUCGUGUCGUGAGAUGUUGGGUUAAGUCCCGCAACGAGCGCAACCCUUGUGAUUAGUUGCUACGCAAGAGCACUCUAAUCAGACUGCCGUUGACAAAACGGAGGAAGGUGGGGACGACGUCAAAUCAUCAUGCCCUUUAUGACCUGGGCUACACACGUACUACAAUGGUCGUUAACAGAGGGAAGCAAUACCGCGAGGUGGAGCAAAACCCUAAAAACGGUCUCAGUUCAGAUUGUAGGCUGCAACUCGCCUACAUGAAGUUGGAAUUGCUAGUAAUCGCGGAUCAGCAUGCCGCGGUGAAUACGUUCCCGGGCCUUGUACACACCGCCCGUCACACCAUGGGAGUCAGUAACGCCCGAAGUCAGUGACCUAACUGCAAAGAAGGAGCUGCCGAAGGCGGGACCGAUGACUGGGGUG